rnacentral:rRNA from 1 species
UGCGAAGGGUGCAAGCGUUAAUCGGAAUUACUGGGCGUAAAGCGUGCGCAGGCGGCGCCGCAAGUCAGGCGUGAAAUCCCCGAGCUUAACUUGGGAAUGGCGCUUGAAACUACGGUGCUGGAGUGUGGCAGAGGGAGGUGGAAUUCCACGUGUAGCAGUGAAAUGCGUAGAUAUGCGGAGGAACACCGAUGGCGAAGGCAAUCCCCUGGGCCUGCACUGACGCUCAUGCACGAAAGCGUGGGGAGCAAACAGG